AGUGAACGUUGGCGGCGUGGAUUAGGCAUGCAAGUCGAGCGAGAACCGUAGCAAUACGGGGACAGCGGCGAAAGGGACAGUAAUGUGUAGGUACCUACCUCCGGGUUCGGGAUAGCUGCGGGAAACUGCAGGUAAUACCGAAUAACGUCUCCGGACCAAAGGUGUGAUUCCACCUGGAGAGGGGCCUGCAUCCUAUUAGCUUGUUGGCGGGGUAACGGCCCACCAAGGCGACGAUGGGUAGCGGGUGUGAGAGCAGGGCCCGCGUCAUUGGGACUGAGACACUGCCCAGACACCUACGGGUGGCUGCAGUCGAGGAUCUUCGGCAAUGGGCGCAAGCCUGACCGAGCGACGCCGCGUGCGGGAUGAAGGCCUUCGGGUUGUAAACCGCUGUCGUAGAGGAGGAAGUGCAGGGGGGUUCUCCCCUCUGUUUGACCUAUUCUAGGAGGAAGGACGGGCUAAGUUCGUGCCAGCAGCCGCAGUAA
rnacentral:rRNA from 1 species